UGGGGAAUAUUGCACAAUGGGCGCAAGCCUGAUGCAGCCAUGCCGCGUGUAUGAAGAAGGCCUUCGGGUUGUAAAGUACUUUCAGCGGGGAGGAAGGGAGUAAAGUUAAUACCUUUGCUCAUUGACGUUACCCGCAGAAGAAGCACCGGCUAACUCCGUGCCAGCAGCCGCGGUAAUACGGAGGGUGCAAGCGUUAAUCGGAAUUACUGGGCGUAAGGCGCACGCAGGCGGGUUGUUAAGUCAGAUGUGAAAUCCCCGGGCUCAACCUGGGAACUGCAUCUGAUACUGGCAAGCUUGAGUCUCGUAGAGGGGGGUAGAAUUCCAGGUGUAGCGGUGAAAUGCGUAGAGAUCUGGAGGAAUACCGGUGGCGAAGGCGGCCCCCUGGACGAAGACUGACGCUCAGGUGCGAAAGCGUGGGGAGCAAACAGG
rnacentral:rRNA from 1 species